rnacentral:lncRNA from 1 species
GCAGUGAUUGCGGUGCCAUGUUCUGGCACGUUAGCAGAAAAGCUUGUUGAAAAUGUUGGAAGGGAAAGUUCGAAGUCUCACAUCAACUGAUGAUAAAUUCAAAUUAUAAUAUAUAAGUAGGGUGCAAAUCUCACCUUACAAGUCAGUUUUGUGGAUUGAGUUAGGCUUAAAUCCCACUUUCUAAUAAGGAAGAUAAGGCUAAAUUAUAAUAUAUAAGUGGGGUGCAAACCUCACCUUACAAACCGUGAAGAAUGAGAAAUUGAGACGUAGAGGGAAGUCAUUCGCCAAGAAAAUCACGGAGGUGCAAAGUGAAAGUCCAAUUCAUGUGGGUAGUGGGUAAUGGUUCAGGUUGUCAAGUUAAAUUAAAGAAGUGAAGAAGGAGAGUUCAAUUUUGCUACAACAGAUAAGAGAUUUUUACUUUAGUAGUUGGAGAACAUAGCUGGAAAUUAUGAUACUUAAGGGUGAAAAUCAAUAAAUGGGAAGUUAUCAGAAUGGUUGUGUUUAAAAGUUAUAUUGUUAACAUGUUGUAGUAAAUUAGAAGUAAUGAGUAAUUAAGUCAUUUGUAUGGUGUUUUAUAGCGGAAGCAAGAGAAGGUGAAGUGAUAUCAAUCAGGUUUCAAUACGAAGUCAAUGUUAGCUGAAGUUUUAGAAGGAGUUUAUAAGAGGUGGUAGAAGUCAGAUGGAUGGUGAUUUCGGUUUAACAUAUGCAAAUUGGUUAAUCAUGCGAAAAAAAGAUCCUUAAAAGCAGAGGUUUAGAAGUUGAGAAGUUGUUUUGAGAGUAAUGGUUAGAUCAAUCUACACUAUCAAACACUAGAGCAUUUAGCAUAAAGGCAAGGUUUUUCAUGUCAGUAAAGUUGUUGGGGGAGCAGUAUCUUUGUCAAAUAGGUGGUUGUAUAAAGAAUGUGGAAAGAGUGGGUUGUUCCUUCUAUCUGAUAAAUGAAUUUUCAAGGAAAAAAAAUUUCUUAUUAGGAAUAAUGUAAAACCCCAGAAAUGGUAUUUUAGAAGCGAUGAUAGUUUAAAAAUAGUGAGACUCAAUUAUUUUAAUAUUAAAUGGUUCAUUUAUAAAUAGUUUUGUUAUAAACAAGUUUCAUUAUUUUAAAAUGUACCAUCUCUCUAAAAAAAUACUUUUCUAGAAUUCUCUACCUUCUCUUUAAGAGUUCUAACUCCCAAAUCAUCUCUUUGACAAUGAGGAGGUACCUAAACAACCACAGCACAAGGUCUACAUUGAUCAGUUUCUGCAAUAGAGCAAGUAUGUUCAGU